GGAUACCGCGUUGCUAGACGUCGUAGGUGCAAGUCUCGGGUUGGGAUCCAACACAGGGUCACAAAGGAGGACUCAAUGAAGUGGUUUCAGGUCAAAUAUGAAGGUGUUAUCCUUAACAAGUCCUCAAACAUCCAGUAAGUCGAGAGCCGUCUGCUGGAUCAGUUUAUCUGACAGCAAGUUUUUUGUUUAUGCAUUUUGUAGACCGAAGUCUAGUUACUUCUAGAAUUGAAUAGUUUUCAAGAGUUGCUGUUAUUUGGCACAGUAUGCUUGUUUUCAUUUUUGGUUUAUGAGACCAAUUCAAUCUUUAAUAUAAUCCUUU
rnacentral:misc_RNA from 1 species